rnacentral:misc_RNA from 1 species
AAGUCGUAACAAGGUUUCCGUAGGUGAACCUGCGGAAGGAUCAUUAUGAAUUUGAACUUGUGCUGUUUCAUUUUACUUGAACGCGCAAUUCUUUUUCUGUGAACUGGAAGUCGAGCAGUUGGCUCGUGUGCGUGUGUUGAAGCGUUUGUGUGUCUCUUUAUUGCGACAUGCGCGCGGCGCGCACGCACACGGCCCUGGUUGAUUUUGCCUUUUUUUGUUUUCUUGUUUUAUAUUCCAUGUAUAUUUUUUUUUUGUGUUUGGAGUAGCUUCUACUUGAAGCGAAACAAACGAAAAAAAAAAAAAUAACAAAAAAAACCAAGACAACUUUCAGCAAUGGAUCUCUUGGCUCUU